GCCCUUGUGCCAAGCAGCCGCGGUAAUUCCAGCUCCAAUAGCGUAUAUUAAAGUUGUUGCGGUUAAAAAGCUCGUAGUUGGAUCUCGGCGAACAGGGGGCGGUUCGUUAUUUGACGGUACUGCCCCAUUUGUUCGUAUUUUUGCAAGAGGGUUGGGGGUCCCCUUCAUUGGGUGUCUCCGGUCGCUUGCAGGUUUACUUUGAAAAAAUUAGAGUGCUCAAAGCAGGCUUACACGCUUGAAUAUUCGUGCAUGGAAUAAUAGAAUAGGAAGUCGUUUCUAUUUUGUUGGUUUUCGGAAAAUGACUUAAUGAUUAAUAGGGACAAUCGGGGGCAUUAGUAUUCAAACGACAGAGGUGAAAUUCUUGGACCGUUUGAAGACUAACUACUGCGAAAGCAUUUGCCAAGAGUGUUUUCAUUAAUCAAGAACGAAAGUUAGAGGUUCGAAGGCGAUCAGAUACCGCCCUAGUUCUAACCAUAAACGAUGCCAGCUAGCGAUCUGCGGGUGUGUAAAAACAAGACCCCGCAGGGAGCUUCCGGGAAACCAAAGCUUGUGGGUUCCGGGGGAAGUAUGGUUGCAAAGCUGAAACUUAAAGGAAUUGACGGAAGGGCACCACCAGGAGUGGAGCCUGCGGCUUAAUUUGACUCAACACGGGAAAUCUCACCAGGCCCGGACACCGGAAGGAUUGACAGAUUGAGAGCUCUUUCUCGAUUCGGUGGGUGGUGGUGCAUGGGCCGUUCUUAGUUGGUGGAGUGAUUUGUCUGGUUAAUUCCGAUAACGAACGAGACUCUGUCCUGCUAAAUAGUAAGCUGAUUACUUUGUCAGCUUGUCUUCUUAGAGGGACUGGCGGAUUUAAACCGCACGAGAUUGAGCAAUAACAGGUCUGUGAU
rnacentral:rRNA from 1 species